rnacentral:rRNA from 1 species
GACGUGGGGGGCGAGCGUUGUCCGGAAUUAUUGGGCGUAAAGGGCGUGUAGGCGGCCUGUCAAGUCGGCUGUGAAAUCCCCCGGCUCAACCGGGGACCUGCAGUCGAAACUGGUGGGCUUGAGUGCAGGAGAGGAGGGUGGAAUUCCUGGUGUAGCGGUGAAAUGCGUAGAUAUCAGGAGGAACACCGGUGGCGAAGGCGACCUUCUGGCCUGUUACUGACGCUGAGGCGCGAAAGCUAGGGGAGCGAAC